CCCGGCACGGGGAGGUAGUGACAAAAAAUAAACGAUACGGGACUCAUCCGAGGCCCCGUAAUCGGAAUGAAUACACUUUAAAUCCUUUCAUGAGGAUCCAUUGGAGGGCAAGCCUGGUGCCAGCAGCCGCGGUAAUUCCAGCUCCAAUAGCGUAUAUUAAAGUUGUUGCGGUUAAAAAGCUCGUAGUUGGUUCUGUGUGCCAUGCUGUUGGUUCACCGCCUGUCGGUGCAACUAACAUGUCAUGGAACGUCUUGUCGGUGGUAAUUAAAGACCUAUUUUUUAAUAAAAGUUUUACUUUUAUUAAAUAUAGGUUCCUUUAAUUGCCGAUUAGUUCCUACCGCGGUGCUCUUCAUUGAGUGUCGAGGUCGGCCGACAAGUUUACUUUGAACAAAUUAGAGUGCUUAAAGCAGGCAAAAUUCUGCCUUGAAUAGUGGUGCAUGGAAUAAUAGAAUAGGAUCUUGGUUCUAUUUUGCUGGUUUUCUGAAUCCAAGGUAAUGAUCAAUAUGGACAGGCGGGGGCAUUCGUAUUGCGACGUUAGAGGUGAAAUUCUUGGAUCGUCGCAAGACGAACUAGAGCGAAAGCAUUUGCCAAGUAUGUCUUAAUUGAUCAAGAACGAAAGUUAGAGGUUCGAAGGCGAUCAGAUACCGCCCUAGUUCUAACCAUAAACGAUGUCAGCUAGCGAUCCGCCGAUGUUUUUCUCAUGACUCGACGGGCAGCUCCUCGAGAAAUCAAAGCUGUUUGAUUCCGGGGGAAGUAUGGUUGCAAAGCUGAAACUUAAAGGAAUUGACGGAAGGGCACCACCAAAAGUGGAGCUUGCGGUUUAUUUGACUCACCACGGGAAACCUCACUAGGCCCAGACAUUGGAAGGAUUGACAGAUUGAUAGCUCUUUCUUA
rnacentral:rRNA from 1 species